AGAGGUUUUAAUAGCUGGGUUUACAAGAGGUUUUAAUAGCUGGGUUUACAAGAGGUUUUAAUAGCUGGGUUUACAAGAGGUUUUAAUGGCUGGGUUUACAAGAGGUUUUAAUGGCUGGGUUUACAAGAGGUUUUAAUGGCUGGGUUUACAAGAGGUUUUAAUGGCUGGGUUUACAAGAGGUUUUAAUGGCUGGGUUUACAAGAGGUUUUAAUAGCUGGGUUUACAAGAGGUUUUAAUGGCUGGGUUUACAAGAGGUUUUAAUGGCUGGGUUUACAAGAGGUUUUAAUGGCUGGGUUUACAAGAGGUUUUAAUGGCUGGGUUUACAAGAGGUUUUAAUGGCUGGGUUUACAAGAGGUUUUAAUGGCUGGGUUUGCAAGAGGUUUUAAUGGCUGGGUUUACAAGAGGUUUUAAUGGCUGGGUUUACAAGAGGUUUUAAUGGCUGGGUUUACAAGAGGUUUUAAUGGCUGGGUUUGCAAGAGGUUUUAAUGGCUGGGUUUGCAAGAGGUUUUAAUGUCUGGGUUUG